UCGCUGCUACCGAUCGAGUGGUCCGGUGAACCUUUUGGAUUGAGUGUUGCCUCGUGUGACAUUUGAGAAGUUAAGUAAACCUUAUCACUUAGAGGAAGCAG
rnacentral:rRNA from 1 species